CCCCAACAAACAAAAACUAGCUGAGACUUGCCUUUAGAAUGUCAGAAAAGGGCUGCCCUGGUGAUUUGGCAGGGGAUGAAUUCUUUGGGGAGUUGGGCCCUGAAUCAUUUAGGAUUCUUUUGGUUGCAAGUGACAGAAAGCCGAGUUUGUAUUUCCCUCAUUAGGGAAAAAAAAAAGAAAAGAAAAAGACAAAGGUGUGUGUCUCGGGUGGCUGUAUGGUCUUGUUACAGACGUGGCCUUUGGUUCAGGUGAAGAUGGGCUUCACCAUGUCCUUGAGAGUCCAGGGGGUCCCUCUCUCUUCUUUUGGGUGGGCUUAAUUGUCAUGUACUCUCUUCCUUCCUGCUUGUGUGGAUACUGCCAGCACCUGGAAAACACACACUUCUAGGUUCAAAUUCAGUCGCUGUGAGAAGCUCCUUCCCUGACCAGCAACGUAAAAGUUUGGGAAUGGGAUCCUCUUGGUCCUCGCGGGCUGAUUUGUCAUCCCAGAGAUAAUUGCUGUGAGGGGGCACGGACCCCUGCCCCUCAAACGUUCAUGCACGUCUGAAUCACCUAGAAAUUCUGUUAGAUGCUGACUCACAAGGUCUCGGGUGGGAACCUGAAACUCUGCAUUCCUAAUAAGCUCCCAGGUGAUGCCGAGGCUACAGAGCCAACGGCCAUUCUUGGAGGAGCAAGGGUACAGACUAGGCUUGGGCUUAGUUUAGGUGGUAUGCUCCGUCUACAUAGCCUGAGAGCCUGUAGACUCAGGUUCAGCUGAGGACAGGGGCUGAGUCCAGUGGAGAAGAGGGAAGAACAUUCCCUCAAAGCAAAAUGAAACACUGUUGCCUUCUGAAGGACAAGUCAGAUGCUGAUAGCAAAACAGCACACUUCCACUAUGGGCCCCCUGGGUUCUUUGUUAAUGGCAACAAAAAAUUCAGCCAGUGGUGUUUGGGGAUGUCUGAGUCACGUCUGUGCCUCAGUCGCACCCCCGGAAGCAAAGAAAGAAGAGACCCAGGGCUGGAAGACAGGUGACAAGCACUCUUUUAAAAUGUGCCCCCGGUGAUCGCCGUCGCUCUUCAUUAUUAAUCGAGGAAGGACUGGCGAGGGCUUGGAGUGGGUAGUGAUUUUGUUUAAGCACCAGCCCGGAGAGACCGGGAAAGGAAACCAAAGGAGAAGCAUGAAUUAUAAAUACAGAUCCUGCCAUAGGAAGCGGAUGGAGGCCCAGGCGCCUGCAGUGGAGAAGGGGUCUCGGUGCUGCAGGCCCCGCAACUGCCAAGUGGAGGUAACAUGUGACCCAGGGACCUGCACUCUGUGGCGCACGAAUGCUCAUUAGGGGACCAGCCUUCAUGCUGCUCGUGACAGAGGAUCAAAUGCCAAGGCAGGAGCCACACGUCUGAGAAUCUUUGGAGGAACUUCUGUUUCUUUGGAAAGACAUAAAACCUAGAGUUUUGUUUUGUUUUUUUUUUUUUAAUGUAAUUGCUCUGAUUAUUAUGAUAAAGAGGUAGGUGGACCUGGGGUACCAUAUAAUUGGUUGAUAAGCUAUGAUAAUGAGAGAUUAUUCUGGAAAGCAUUUAUUUAGACGUGGCAUUUAAGGGGACUAGUUGCAUGAUUUAGGUAUUUGAAUAUCACCACGUAAUAAAUAAUAAUAAUAACCACAAUAAUCCCAGCUUGAUGGGGGCCCUGCUGGUUAGAGAAUGUUCUAGCUAGGUUACCAGAUGGAGAGCUGUAAUUAGGCUCAUUCUCUGGUACUUUAAGAAAUGAAGGCAGCAUCACUUUUAGCCCCUGGUCACCUUUCCCUUCGCUUUAUUCCUCGGCAUCCCGUCGCCUUCUGGCUGUGCAGGCAGUCCCGCCCGCUCUCAGCCUCCUACCUCCCACAAGCCCAUUGUUAUCUCUCCCGGAGCCUAAGCUGUGAGCGUUUUGCUGCUGGGAAUCCUGGCACUGUGCAAGCUCCUUACACGUCUCUUAUCAGGUGAGCCUGCACCAUCUCUUAAAUCCCUGUGGUAGGAGGAUGUCAAGGUGUUAGCUACAGCAGACGCGUUGCCAAGGAGGUUUCUAGUGCUGGAGACGUUUCUGGAGUGAGUCUCCUCUAUCCCCAAACAUAACCUGGUUUCUUGAGGAGAAAAGUUAGGUCAGAGUAACUUUGUCCUUAUUUGAAUUCAGCCAGUAAGGUGGUUCUAGAAACUUCCUUCUCAGUCCUGAGUGCAUGCAGUUCUCUGGGAGGCCAGCACCGGCUACCACCCUCAGGCUGCUGCCGUCUGACCUCCUGUCCCAGAGAUGCUUCUUGCUUCUGUUGGCAUCUCAGCCAUGCCCCACCACCCCCCGUCUAUUCUACUACAAAUUCUCUUUCCUUAUGGAUGUUCCUUCCACUCCCUCCUUCCUCUCUCAGCAGAUAAUGUGAAAGAGUCUAAUUCUUGCCCAGAAUUACAUCCAACAGGAGAUACCCAAUCAGACCAACUCCCUGGGCUUAAUUUGAGGUGAUGGGUUGAUAACAGGAAACAGAGCACCGUUGUGUCUCACACUCUGGGGCACUAACUGUAAGGACACCUGGCCCUCAAAAGCUGGGGAGAGAAAUGUGGUCCCAGGGGCUGAGAAGAGACUUCCUCCCUGCAUGUGGCCCCCUGCACCUGACCUCCACCUAACUCACUCUUUGACAAAAGCUUUUUUUCUCCUUCCCCCCCCCCUUUUUUUUGGCUUUUUAGGGCUGCACCUCCUGGGAACCUCCAUAUGCAGUGGGUGCGGCCCUAGAAAAGCAAAAAAAAAAAA
rnacentral:lncRNA from 1 species